CCUACGGGUGGCAGCAGUGGGGAAUAUUGGGCAAUGGGCGCAAGCCUGACCCAGCAACGCCGCGUGAAGGAAGAAGGCUUUCGGGUUGUAAACUUCUUUUAAGAGGGAAGAGCAGAAGACGGUACCUCUUGAAUAAGCCACGGCUAACUACGUGCCAGCAGCCGCGGUAAUACGUAGGUGGCAAGCGUUGUUCGGAAUCACUGGGCGUAAAGCGUGCGUAGGCGGUAUGUCAAGUCAAGGGUGAAAUCCCCGCGCUCAACGUGGGAACUGCCUUUGAAACUGGCAAACUGGAGUGUGUGAGAGGAUAGUGGAAUUCCAGGUGUAGGAGUGAAAUCCGUAGAUAUCUGGAGGAACAUCAGUGGCGAAGGCGACUAUCUGGCACAUAACUGACGCUGAGGAGCGAAAGCGUGGGUAGCAAACAGGAUUAGAUACCCCUGUAGUC
rnacentral:rRNA from 1 species